rnacentral:rRNA from 1 species
UCCUACGGGGGGCAGCAGUGAGGAAUAUUGGUCAAUGGUCGGGAGACUGAACCAGCCAAGCCGCGUGAGGGAUGAAGGUACAGAGUAUCGUAAACCUCUUUUGUCAGGGAACAAAGGCGGGGACGUGUCCCCGGAUGGGUGUACCUGAAGAAAAAGCAUCGGCUAACUCCGUGCCAGCAGCCGCGGUAAUACGGAGGAUGCGAGCGUUAUCCGGAUUUAUUGGGUUUAAAGGGUGCGCAGGCGGUCUGUUAAGUCAGCGGUCAAAGCCCGGGGCUCAACCCCGGCCCGCCGUUGAAACUGGCAGU